GGAGGCUCAUUAUGAUACUUAAAGGAGAAAAUAGAAAAAUGGCAGAGAACAUUGGCAUCCCUUAAAACAAGUUCACUUUGUAAGAUACAUGUGGAAAAGGGCCUACUUCAUUUCCUUAUGUUUGCUUUGCUGUAAAUAAAACGCGGACAAAGAGGACACAAAUUCAGUCAAAUAAUAUAAAAUAAUAUUGUUUAAUGUUUAUUUGUUAAUUUAAUUUAGGAAUAAAAUAAGAAAUGUAAUGUAAUUGCAAGUAUAUAUAUGAACUUCAAUCAAUAAUAUUGACAUCAAUUAAUGGUUUAAAAUAAAAUAAUAGUAUUAGUCUUGGUUGAAAUUAUAAAAAAAGUGUAAAAAAAACAUGGAGGCUCAUUAUAAACACAAACAACUUAGCUCAUAAACAAUGAGUCCUUGAAGUUAGAUCUGAAAAUUAAGGCCAAAAUAACUCUCGGUCAAAGGAGAUGGAGUGUAUGGUAAUAAGUUAGACCAUAUAUUCACAUAGACUGCUAUUACCAUAAACGCCCACUAUGUGAUCACUAUCUGCUAUUGCAACCGGUAUGGCUGCUGCUUUGACAACUAUGAUGACAAAAAUUGGGUAAAAAACCCUAUCAAGCAAUUGAUAGUGUUCACUCUUAACAUUGCCAAUUAUAAGGUUUAAGACCUAAAGCACAAAUAAUAAUGAGGCUAAGACUCCAUACAUAGUAGUAUUUGUAUCCAAAUCCAGCUACGACUUAAAAUACCAAUCAUUAGCAAUUGUAGCCAUACCACCACAACAUAAUCUUCUAAUACUUCUGAAACUCUUGAUAAAUGAAAAUAAAUGAAUUCGUAAUGAGAUUUGUAUCACCUUCAAAGUGUUGGUGCACAGACACAUAUUUAACUACUUCUCUCUCUCGAGAAAAUAGUCUUUAGUUUCCAUUAUACCCAGCAUCUAAACAGAAUGGUAAAUUCUUCAAUCAUGCAAUUUGAGAUUGAAAAACAUCACAAAAAUAAUAGGAAAACAUAAAAGAAAAGUGUAACCUCCAUUACAGCUUCAAUCAUAAACUUAUUGUACCGCGAAUAUGUGAUGAGAUCCAUCACGAGCUGAUUAACAUAAUCCUUGUAUGUCGGUUUCUCUUCCUUCAAAAGCUCAAAAACGGAUAGUACCCUAAAAACUGAAAAUAAGGAUUACCAAAGAGAACAGCCAAUUAAAUUAUGGCCACAGAAUUUCAGAAGGGAAAAAAAAGGAAAUAUAACAAAACAUACUAUCGUUGAUCCUUUCCCAGAGCUUGGAACGAGGCAUGCGCUUACUCUUUUCCUCUUCGAACUCCUAGGUUAUUGUAUGGAAAUUUAUAAGCACUUUUCAAUUCAUAAGAUAAUACUCCCUCCGUCCACGAAAGAACUUCCUAUCUUUCCUUUUUGGGACGUCCACAAAAGAACUUCCUAC
rnacentral:lncRNA from 1 species